AAACGACCGGUGCGUGUAAUGAUUCCCAAAAAAGUGUACUGUACGCAACACUUCACGAGCGACUGUCCACGGUGACACGUUGAUGGAUGAGUACCGCUUCUACUAGCGCUACCUGUCGGAAUAGCUGGAAGGCUUGCGGAUGGUGCCACGUGUGCGUCAUCCUAGCGCACCCAGCUGCGAUCGUUAUCUUGACGGUGGGACUUUGUUCUGGCUGCCCCUUUGCUAGAGCUGUCACGGGAGUGGCCAUGUUAAUUAGAAUCGUAAAGUUGGCCCGAAAACGGUCAAAUCGUGCUACCGUAAUGGAUGAAACGAGUUGAUGGAAUGGAAAAUUUGCAUAGAAAAAUGGAUUUCCUAAAACGUAUGCGUGCUGUGUACCUUCGCAGGAGCUAACAAUGUUUGCAAAAAUAUCGCAAACUAUCGAUCAAACUGUACACGAACUCUACAUCUUGCAAAACCACAACGAACAACUCUAUUGAGAGCAUGAGCAAAACGUCAAGCAGCAAACAUCCUGCAGCGCUUCGGGUCACUGAAUCAUUAAUAAUUCGAUCAUCUAUCCAUUAAUCAAUGCUGACAUCAGGCUGAUUACCAAUUUCUGCCCCAAUUCGUUUCCAUCUUGCCGGCUGGUAAUCGUGAAUAAAAAGAAUCACACAAGAAACGCAAUAGCGCAUACUCGUCUUUUCGAAACUGGAUGGAAAUUUGAAGACCAAAACUAUGUAAAACUAUUUCUGAAGAAAAAACGAGUGUUAUGAGUAACGAUGUGACCUACGAAGUCAGUGCUCUCAGUAAAUAGCAAGGAUUUUGCCCGUACAGAUGAGAAGAUGAUGAGGUUGUUGAUGAAGUUGAUUACCCAUACUCCACAAUUCGUGGCCCACACGACGAUACACACUCUACAAGCAAACCCAACAUUCCGGCCGGACUGGUUAUCGCAAGAAAGAAUUGCCCCUCCUUUGCUCUGAUGAGGUUGGAACCGUUCUCACCAGGCUACUGUGCUGGCAAGCACUGCGAGCACUGCGAAGCUUCCCUUUUGACCCCGUGCCAUUAGACGAAAAUGCAAUUUCAGGAUACAAAUGUC